GAGGGUUAGGGUUAGAGGGUUAGGGUUAGGGUUAGAGGGUUAGGGUUAGGGUUAGGGUUAGAGGGUUAAGGUUAGAGGGUUAGGGUUAGAGGGUUAGGGUUAGGGUUAGGGUUAGGGUUAGGGUUAGGGUUAGGGUUAGAGGGUUAGGGUUAGAGGGUUAGGGUUAGGGUUAGUGUUAGGGUUAGGGUUAGGGUUUGGGUUAGAGGGUUAGGGUUAGGGUUAGAGGGUUAGGGUUAGAGGGUUAAGGUUAGGGUUAGAGGGUUUGGGUUAGGGUUAGAACGUUAGGGUUAGAGGGUUAGCGUUAGAGGGUUAGGUUUAGGUUUAUGGUUAGGGUUAGAGGGUUAGGGUUAUGGUUAGGGUUAGGGUUAGGGUUAGGUUUAGAGGGUUAGGGUUAGAGGGUUAGGUCUAGAGGGUUAGGGUUAGGGUUAGAGGGUUAGGGUUAGGGUUAGGGUUAGGGUUAGAGGGUUAGGUUUAGAGGGUUAGGGUUAGGGUUAGGGUUAGUGUUAGGGUUAGGGUUAGUGUUAGAGGGUAUGGGUUAGAGGGUUAGGGUUAGAGGGUUA
rnacentral:lncRNA from 1 species